rnacentral:rRNA from 1 species
UCGCUUCUACCGAUUGAACGAUCCGGUGAAUUAUUUGGACUGAUAAACGUUGCUCUUAGCAUCGUUCAUUACGAAAUUUUGUGAACCUUAUCGUUUAGAGGAAGGAA